UAAUACGUAGGGUGCAAGCGUUGUCCGGAUUUAUUGGGCGUAAAGAGCUCGUAGGCGGUCUGUCGCGUCGGAUGUGAAAACUUGGGGCUCAACCCUGAGCUUGCAUUCGAUACGGGCAGACUAGAGGAUGGCAGGGGAGACUGGAACUCCUGGUGUAGCGGUGGAAUGCGCAGAUAUCAGGAAGAACACCGGUGGCGAAGGCGGGUCUCUGGGCCAUUACUGACGCUGAGGAGCGAAAGCGUGGGGAGCAAACAGG
rnacentral:rRNA from 1 species